rnacentral:rRNA from 1 species
GACGUAUGGGGCCAGCGUUGUUCGGAAUUACUGGGUGUAAAGGGUUCGUAGGCGGUGUAGCAAGUCGGGAGUGAAAUCUCUGGGCUUAACCCAGAGGCUGCUUCCGAAACUGCUGUGCUUGAGUGUGGGAGAGGCGCGUGGAAUUGCAGGUGUAGCGGUGAAAUGCGUAGAUAUCUGCAGGAACACCCGUGGCGAAAGCGGCGCGCUGGACCACUACUGACGCUGAGGAACGAAAGCUAGGGGAGCAAACAGG